AGAGCCUCUGGGCGCUGGGCUCAGGAGUCCGGGGGCCGCUGAGGGGCCGCUCGGGGUGCAGGAAAGGGCCACCGGGCCUGGCCGGCCGCGCUCGAGGUGUCGGGCCGCGGGCCUGAGGGAGGCGGAGGGGCCGUGGCCGGCGACGGGGCCCGGAAGCGGUUCUGGAGGCGCAGCAACGGCGAAGUCCCGGGCAGGUGGAUGGCAAGCAUUCCGAUGAGGCAGCCUUGAUCCUCCACAGGAAGGGGUUUGACUGCCACUUCUCGAGCAGAGACACGGGGCUGCUUUGUUCCACAACCCAGGGAAAGAUUUUGGUACAGAAGCUUUUUAGCAUGUUUACUGUCGCAAGUCUCAUACCUUCGUCAUUAUCCUUGAUGCAUUCACCUCCAGACGCCCGAAAUAUAAGUGAGAUCAACUUGAGUCCCAUGGAAAUCAGCACAUUCCGAAUCCAGUUGAGAUGAACCUGGCUUUCAAAUUUGGAUGGGAAGCACUGUCUUUUAUACACUUCUUGGUUUGACAUGCAAUAAGGAAGCACAUUAUUUUAGCUUCUGGCUACUGUGAGGACAUGAAUUCUGUGAUUGUUAUUAUAAUUAUUAUUAUUAUUUUUUUUUUUACUAGUACAGAAAGAAAAAAAAAAAAGCCAUGCUAUAGCCAGUUUUUCUUUAAGUUCCAUCCAUGAAUCACCACCAUCAGUAUGAAUCGAUGCAACAAUGAAGGAAGAAAUGUCUAAAACAACCUCUCCACAGAUUGUAUCUCAGGUUAAA